UAGGGAAUCUUCGGCAAUGGACGAAAGUCUGACCGAGCAACGCCGCGUGAGUGAAGAAGGUUUUCGGAUCGUAAAACUCAGUUGGUAGAGAAGAACGUUGGUGAGAGUGGAAAGCUCAUCAAGUGACGGUAACUACCCAGAAAGGGACGGCUAACUACGUGCCAG
rnacentral:rRNA from 1 species